rnacentral:rRNA from 1 species
UGAGGAAUAUUGGUCAAUGGGCGAGAGCCUGAACCAGCCAAGUAGCGUGCAGGAUGACGGCCCUAUGGGUUGUAAACUGCUUUUAUAUGGGAAUAAAGUGAGGGACGUGUCCCUUAUUGCAUGUACCAUAUGAAUAAGGACCGGCUAAUUACGUGCCAGCAGCCGCGGUAAUACGGAAGGUCCAGGCGUUAUCCGGAUUUAUUGGGUUUAAAGGGAGCGUAGGCUGUUUGUUAAGCGUGUUGUGAAAUGUAAGAGCUCAACUUUUAGAUUGCAGCGCGAACUGGCAGACUUGAGUGCGCACAACGUAGGCGGAAUUCAUGGUGUAGCGGUGAAAUGCUUAGAUAUCAUGACGAACUCCGAUUGCGAAGGCAGCUUACGGGAGCGCAACUGACGCUAAAGCUCGAAGGUGCGGGUAUCGAACAGG